rnacentral:lncRNA from 13 species
CAGAAUGGGAGUGGGGGGCAUGGUGUGUCAUUUCAGGCUCAGUGACUGAACACGGGCUCUGACUGGAGUCUGGUUGUCUCUGACUGAGCUUAGGGCAUCUCUGACUAAACUCUGUCUCUAACUGAACUCUAGUUGGUUUUGACUGAACUCUGAUCAACUCUGACUGAGCUCUGGGUGUCUCUGACUGUAUUCUGGGCAUCUCUGACUGAACUCUAGUUGUUUUUGACUGAAAUCUGGUCACUUUUGACUGAACUCUGAGUGUGUCUGACUGAACUCUGGCCAUUUCUGACUGAAUUCUGGACAGCUCUGACUAAACUCUGGGCAGCUCUGACUGAACUUGGGUCAUUUCUGACUAAAUUCUAAUUGUUUUUUACUGAACUCUAGUCGUAGCUGACUGAACUCUGGACAUCUCUGGCUGAACUCUGGGCGUCUCUGAUUGAACUCUGGUUGUUCUGACUGAAUUUUAGUUCUUUUUGACAAAACUCUAACAAUCUCAGACUGAAAUCUUGUCUCUGACUGAACUCUGGGCAUCUCUGACUGAACUCUGGGUAUCUCUGACUGAACUCUGGUGUCUCUGACUGAAUCCUGGGUAUCUCUGACUGAACUCUGGUGUCUCUGACUGAAUCCUGGGUAUCUCUGACUGAACUCUGGUGUCUCUGACUGUACUUUGGUGUCUCUGACUGACUUUUGGGUAUCUCUGACUGAACUUUAGUCAUCUUCAGCUUCUGCACCCAGUGCGGUGAACACAGUGCGUGGCCUGGAACCAUUGCUGGAGACCCAAAUAGGACUGCUCGGCCCUCUCCCUUCUUCUCAAGCUCUCCAGCUUCUGUGUGUUUUCUUAGCACCUCAACAGCAGCCCCUCACACCUUCCUGGCAUCCUAUGACCCGAACAUAACCUCGGUGAAUGCAGAAGUCCCCUGCCUCGUGUGUUGCCUUGUCCUGUUUACAGCACUGCCUGGAAUAUGGUAGGCCAGAAGAUGUCAAAGAAAAAGUAACACUAACUUCAUUUAUGUAAGAGCUUUCAGAGGCAGUAAGCAUUUCAGCCAACUCCCUUAUUCUUGGUCUCUGCCAUGAACAAACAAUAUUCAGCAUAUGGGGAUCUUCCUCUAACCUGAGUCCCAGCAUGAGAAGACCCAGGAAGCAGAUCUAUAUUUCACCAGAAGAUUGUAGUGAAGCCUUUGAGCACAGAGCUGCAAAGCUUCAGCCUACACAAGACUGGCAUGUAGCAUAAGGUAACAAAUAAUUGGAAGUUAUUUGUUACACAGCACCAUUAUAGCACAGCUGACAGAUACACAAAACAUGACCUUGGCAUCAAUAUGAUCAUUUGUAGAAUUUCCUAACACAAACUAAU